rnacentral:rRNA from 1 species
AACGAACGCUGGCGGCAGGCCUAACACAUGCAAGUCGAGCGCGCCCUUCGGGGUGAGCGGCGAACGGGUGAGUAACGCGUGGGAACGUGCCCUUCUCUGCGGAAUAGCCUCGGGAAACUGAGAGUAAUACCGCAUACGCCCUUUGGGGGAAAGAUUUAUCGGAGAAGGAUCGGCCCGCGUUGGAUUAGGUAGUUGGUGGGGUAAUGGCCCACCAAGCCGACGAUCCAUAGCUGGUUUGAGAGGAUGAUCAGCCACACUGGGACUGAGACACGGCCCAGACUCCUACGGGAGGCAGCAGUGGGGAAUCUUAGACAAUGGGGGCAACCCUGAUCUAGCCAUGCCGCGUGAGUGAUGAAGGCCUUAGGGUUGUAAAGCUCUUUCAGCUGGGAAGAUAAUGACGGUACCAGCAGAAGAAGCCCCGGCUAACUCCGUG